rnacentral:rRNA from 1 species
UACGUAGGGUGCAAGCGUUGUCCGGAAUUAUUGGGCGUAAAGAGCUCGUAGGCGGUUUGUCGCGUCUGCUGUGAAAACUCGGGGCUUAACUCCGGGCCUGCAGUGGGUACGGGCAGACUAGAGUGCGGUAGGGGAGACUGGAAUUCCUGGUGUAGCGGUGAAAUGCGCAGAUAUCAGGAAGAACACCCGUGGCGAAGGCGGCUCUCUGGGACGGUACUGACGCUGAGACGCGAAAGCGUGGGGAGCGAACAGG